CACGUAGGGACCAAGCGUUGUCCGGAUUCAUUGGGCGUAAAGAGCUCGUAGGCGGUUCAGUAAGUCGGGUGUGAAACCUCCAGGCUCAACCUGGAGACGCCACCCGAUACUGCUGUGACUAGAGUCCAGUAGGGGAGCGUGGAAUUCCUGGUGUAGCGGUGAAAUGCGCAGAUAUCAGGAGGAACACCGGUGGCGAAGGCGGGUCUCUGGGCAACAACUGACGCUGAGGAGCGAAAGCGUGGGGAGCGAACAGG
rnacentral:rRNA from 1 species